rnacentral:rRNA from 1 species
AAUGAAGAAGGUAUGUACAAAACGGAUGAUGCCAUGCGUAAGGAUUAUAAUACUAAUCCUAGUAGUCAACGUUGGAAUUACCGUUUGAAUACGGAUAUUGAUGUAACGAAGACUACUCUUGUAAAAGUAGGCGUAUCCGGUUCAUUAAAGAAGCGUAAUGCACCGGGGCAGGGCUCUAACGUAUGGACUUCAUUGAUGGGGCAGAGUCCAAUCAGUAUUCCUGUGAUGUAUUCUAAUGGUUACAUUCCUGCACACGGGAAAGAAGAUAAUCGCAAUAAUCCUUGGGUACUUGCUACACAGAGUGGUUAUAAAGAAAUCUGGAAUAAUAAAAUUCAGACCAAUAUUUCUUUGGAACAAAAGUUGGAUUUUAUCACUAAAGGCCUGCGUUUUGAAGGACGUUUCGGGUUCGACACGAAUAAUCAGAGUGAAAUAAACCGGAUAAGAAUGCCGGAAACAUGGCGUGCCCAAAGAGAUCGCAAUGAUGAGGGAAAGGUGAUCUUCAACCAACAAAGUGCCGAAAAACCGAUGGAGCAAACCAGUGCCUCUACUGGUGAACGCCGUGAAUUCCUGGAAGCAUUUUUACAAUAUAACCGUGCAUUUCACGCGCAUCAUUUGAGUGGAACAUUGAAAUAUAGUCAGGAUGCUUAUCGGACAACAGUUGAUAUUGGAACGGAUGUAAAGAAUGGGAUUGCCAAACGUCACAUGGGAUUGGCCGGUCGGGUAAGUUACAACUGGAACUAUCGCUAUUUUGCUGACUUUAACUUUGGCUAUAAUGGUUCGGAAAAUUUUGCUGAUGGACAUCGUUUUCUCUCGCUUGGAAUAUAGCAGAAGAAACGUUUAUAAAGAAACAUCUGAAAUGGAUGAAUAUGUUCAAGUUACGUUAUUCCUAUGGCAAAGUGGGUAGCGAUAAGCUUAAAAUAGGUGAUACAACAUAUCGUUUUCCCUAUUUGUACACAAUCAAGGAUGAUGGAAAUGGCUGGACUUGGAGUGAUUACGGUUCUCCGGACAAUGUGUAUACAGGAAUGCAGUAUACGCAGCUGGCCUCCAACAAUGUCACUUGGGAAAUUGCGACCAAGCACGAUGCAGGUGUGGAUUUAUCCUUAUUCAAUGACAAGUUUACGGCUACUGUAGAUUAUUUCCAUGAACAGCGUGAUGGUAUCUAUAUGGAACGUAAUUAUCUACCUGGCAUUGUGGGUGUAAAUACUUAUCCAAAAGCGAAUGUGGGAAGUGUGCGGUCGAAAGGUUUUGACGGUAAUUUUGCUUACAAGCAGAAAAUAGGUAAAGUCAAUCUGACUGUACGUGGUAACUUUACUUACAGUAAGAAUGAGAUUCUGGAGAAAGACGAAGAAAAUGCAGUUUAUCCCUAUCAAAAGGAGGCUGGUUACAGGGUUAAUCAGGCGAAGGGAUUAAUUGCUUUGGGAUUGUUUAAAGAUUAUGAUGAUAUACGCAAUAGCCCGCAGCAAACUAACUGGGGGAAGGUGCAACCGGGUGACAUUAAAUAUAAAGAUGUCAAUGGAGACGGAAUUAUUAAUGGCAGUGAUGAGGUAGCUAUUGGUGCAACAACGAAGCCUAACUUGAUUUAUGGUUUUGGUAUUUCUGCACAGUGGAAAGGCUUCGACUUCAAUGCACACUUCCAAGGAGCAGGCAAGUCUUCGUUCUUCAUUAAUGGCCCUACCGUAUAUGCCUUUAAUGGUAGUCAGUGGGGAAAUGUCCUGACGAAUUUGGUGAAAGACCGCUAUGUCGAUGCGGAGACAGCUGCCACAUUGGGUAUUCCGGCUAAUGAAAAUCCUAAUGCUUCGUAUCCACGUUUGAGCUACCAAGGUGACAAUGCCAGCAAUAAUAACUACCGAAACUCUACUUUCUGGUUGAAAAAUGGUCGUUACCUUCGACUAAAAACAAUUGAUGUUGGUUAUACACUCCCCAAAUCAAUUGUUAACAAGAUAAGUUCCGACCCGCACGAAAGGCGUAAUGAUUUGGGCACUGUCUCGACAACACACCCGGUGAAAUUGAAAUACCAGUGAAGAUGCUGGUUACCUGCGCCAGGACGGAAAGACCCCAUGGAGCUUUACUCCAGCUUGAUACUGGGAUUCGGUACUGCAUGUACAGGAUAGGUGGGAGACUGAGAACUAUGAACGCCAGUUUGUAGGGAGUCGCUGUUGGGAUACCACCCUUGCGGUAUUGGAUUUCUAACCUGCAGCCGUGAACCGGCUGGGGGACAAUGUCAGGCGGGGAGUUUGACUGGGGCGGUCGCCUCCGAAAGGGUAUCGGAGGCGCUCAAAGGUUCCCUCAGAAUGGUCGGAAACCAUUCGAAGAGUGCAAAGGCAGAAGGGAGCUUGACUGCGACACCGACGGGUGGAGCAGGUACGAAAGUAGGACUUAGUGAUCCGGUGGUAUAAAGUGGGAUUGCCAUCGCUCAACGGAUAAAAGCUACCCUGGGGAUAACAGGCUUAUCACUCCCAAGAGUUCACAUCGACGGAGUGGUUUGGCACCUCGAUGUCGGCUCAUCGCAUCCUGGGGCUGUAGUAGGUCCCAAGGGUUGGGCUGUUCGCCCAUUAAAGCGGUACGCGAGCUGGGUUCAGAACGUCGUGAGACAGUUCGGUCCCUAUCCGGCGCGGGCGGAGGAUAUUUGAGAGGAGCUGUCCUUAGUACGAGAGGACCGGGAUGGACGGACCACUGGUGUAUCUGUUGUCGACCAACGGCAUGGCAGAGUAGCCAAGUCUGGAAGGGAUAAACGCUGAAGGCAUCUAAGCGUGAAGCCCCCCUCAAGAUGAGAUAUCCCUCCUUCGGGAGUAAGACCCCUUGAAGACUACAAGGUAGAUAGGGCAGAGGUGGAAGUGUGGCAACACAUGGAGCUGACUGUUACUAAUAGGUCGAGGGCUUGAUUA